rnacentral:rRNA from 1 species
UCAGGCCUAACACAUGCAAGUCGAACGCAGUAGCAAUACUGAGUGGCAAACGGGUGAGUAUAAUGUGGGAAUCUGCCUUUUGGUUUGGAAUAACACGGGGAAACUUGUGCUAAUACCGAAUAAGCCCUUACGGGGAAAGUUUUAAUGCCGAAAGAUGAGCCUGCACUUGAUUAGCUAGUUGGUAAGGUAAUGGCUUACCAAGGCAAUGAUCAAUAGCUGUUCUUAGAGGAAGACCAGCCACAUUGGGACUGAGACACGGCCCAGACUCCUACGGGAGGCAGCAGUGGGGAAUCUUGCACAAUGGGGGAAACCCUGAUGCAGCGAUGCCGCGUGAGUGAAGAAGGCCCUUGGGUUGUAAAACUCUUUCGUCGGGGAAGAAAAUGACUGUACCCGAAUAAGAAGGUCCGGCUAACUUCGUGCCAGCAGCCGCGGUAAUACGAAGGGACCUAGCGUAGUUCGGAAUUACUGGGCUUAAAGAGCUCGUAGGUGGUUAAAAAAGUUGAUGGUGAAAUCCCAAGGCUCAACCUUGGAACUGCCAUCAAAACUUUUUAGCUAGAGUGUGAUAGAGGUAAGUGGAAUUUCUAGUGUAGAGGUGAAAUUCGUAGAUAUUAGAAAGAACACCAAAUGCGAAGGCAACUUACUGGGUCACUACUGACACUGAGGAGCGAAAGCAUGGGUAGCGAAGAGGAUUAGAUACCCU